UAAUAUAAUUAUUAUUUUAUAGAAUUUAUUUUAUUUUAUUAAAUUAAAGUUAUAUAAAAGUUAUUAUAAUUAGUAUUAAUAAGAAAAUUAAUUAUUUAUUGUAAGUAUUGAAAAAGAAAUAUUAAUUUAUUGUAAUAAAUUUUUUUAUUAUUAGUACCUUUUGUAUCAGGGUUUAUUAAAAAUAAUAAAUGUAAUUUUUAUUUCUCGAAAAAAAAUGAUCUAAUUAAUUAUUUAAGUUAAUGUUUCAUUAUUAUUUAAAAUAUUUAGUUAGUUAUUAUAUGUAUUUCAUAUUUUUAUAUCUAGUUAUUUUAUAAAUUAAUUUAAUUAAGAUAAAAUUGUUUAUAAUUUUAAAUUGUUAAAAUUAUGAUUAUUUUUAUUAAUAAUUUAUGGGAUAAUCUAUAAAUUAAUUUUAAUAUUAUUUAUUAAUCAUUUAAUUUAUUAGAAAUAGUAAUUUUUAUAUAAAAUUAGUUUGUUAUAAUUAAUUUAUUAAUUAUUUGAUUUAUGAAUUAUAUUUAAUUUAUUAUAAAAUUAUUUAAAAAAAUAUUUUAUUUAAAUUAAUAAUGAUAAAAUUAGUAAAAUGUAUAUAUAUAUAUAUAUAUAAUUAAUUAUAAUUUAAUUUAAAUUAAGGAAUUAGGCAAAUAAUUUUAUUCACCUGUUUAAUAAAAACAUGGUUUUUUGAUAAUAAUAAAAAAUCUAAUCUGCUCAAUGAUUUUAAAAUUAAAUAGCUGCAGUAUAUUGACUGUACAAAGGUAGCAUAAUCAAUUGUUUUUUUAAUGAAAACUCGUAUGAAGGAUUUGAUGAAAUAAAAACUGUCUCAAUUUGAAUUAUUGAAUUUUAUUUUAAGUUAAAAUUCUUAAUUAAAUUUAUUAGACGAGAAGACCCUAUAGAAUUUUAUAAAAUUAAGUUAAAUUUUAUUUAAAAAUAUUAUUUAAUUAUAUUAUUAUUUUGUUGGGGUGACAGAAAAAUUUAAAAAAUUUUUUUAGUUUAAAUUUAAUUAUAAUUAAAUUAUUUAAUUUUUAUUAAAAAAUUUAAAUAAAUUACCUUAGGGAUAACAGCGUAAUUAUAUUGGAGAGAACAUAUUGAUAAUAUAGUUUGCGACCUCGAUGUUGAAUUAAGAUUUAUAUUUAUUGGAGAUAAUAGAUAAUUUAGUCUGUUCGACUAUUAAAAUCUUACAUGAUUUGAGUUUAGAUCGGUGUAAGCCAGAUCGGAUUCUAUCUAUAAAUAGAUUUAAUAUCUUUGUACGAAAGGACUUGAUAUUAUUAAUAAUUAAUUUAUUUUUGAAUAUUACUUUGG
rnacentral:rRNA from 1 species